GUAGACUACAGCAAGUUUAUGGGGGGAGUAGACUUGGCUGAUCAGUGUAUACAGCCCUAUCUGGUGAACCGAAAGAAUAGGACCUGGUACAAGAAAAUUGCAAUCUACGUAACCCAGAUUGCAAUUUUCAACUCCUAUGUGCUUUAUAAAAAGGAAGCCAUAGGUAGACCAUGCCCAUUUCUAGAGUUUAUGGUCCAAAUUUUGUCUCAAAUUUUAUUUGCCUAGGCCCCCAAUCCUAACCCUCC